ensembl:lncRNA
GGGACACAGAUAGAUGGAGUAUAAAGUAUUCAAUCUGUGGGCUUAUAGAUGGGGGGAUACAGAUAGAUGGAGUUUGAAGUAUUCAGUCUGUGGGCUUAAAGAUGAGGGGAUACAGAUGGAGUAUGAAGUAUUCAGUCUGUGGGCUUAUAGAUGAAGGGACACCGAUAGAUGGAGUAUAAAGGCUUCAGUCUGUGGGCUUAUAGAUGAGGGGAUACAGAUGGAUGGAGUAUAAAAUAUUCAGUAUGUGGGCUUAUAGAUGAGGGGAUACAGAUGGAUGGAGUAUAAAUUAUUCAGUCUGUGGGCUUAUAGAUGAGGGGAUACAGAUAGAUCUGUGUUCUUAUAGAUGAGGGGACACAGGUAGAUGGAGUUUAAAGUAUUCAGUCUGUGGGCUUAUAGAUGAGGGGAUACAGAUGGAGUAUAAAGUAUUCAGUCUGUGGGCUUAAAGAUGAGGGGAUACAUAUAUAUUGAGUAUAACAUAUUCAGUCUGUGGGCUUAUAGAUGAGGGGAUGCAGAUAGAUGGAGUAUAACAUUUUCAGUCUGUGGGCUUAUAGAUGAGGGGACACAGAUAGAUGGAGUAUAAAGUAUUCAAUCUGUGGGCUUAUAGAUGGGGGGAUACAGAUAGAUGGAGUUUGAAGUAUUCAGUCUGUGGGCUUAAAGAUGAGGGGAUACAGAUGGAGUAUGA